CCCCCCCCCCCCCCCCCCUCUUGUUAAUUUGUGUUUCUGUUGCUGCGUGAUGAUAUAAUCUAAGUGAUGAAACGUCAAUGAAAGGGAGAUUUCGCAUCACAAAGCAAAAAAAAUACCCGUCCUUCUAUCAUGACACACUGUUUGCAUUUUACUUGCACAUGCUGUAGGAAUAUAGACAGUAUGCAUCACAGGCUUAUUGUGCUGAUGUUCUCAAUGGUAUCCAAAAUUUUCUUUGUAGAAUCAAAUAAGCAACGAAAUAUAUUAAUAAGUUUACAAUUUAGCUGUGUACCACAAAGAAUCAUGGAAACCAAAUUUCAGGUGUUUUGGAUGUGUGUGUUUAGUUCGGAAGGCAAUGGUUAACAAAUGUGUGUUUUCAGAUUUUUCAAAUGAAUUUCACCCUAUGGCUAGACCGCUAGAGCAUCUUCAAUGAAAUGCAAACCUGUUCAUUUGUCUUUACCAUUAAUAGUUUAAUACUCAUGCUGAAAUAUUGAGGUCUUCUAUUUACGUUUUGUGUGCUAUGUUUUGCUCUCACUGUACUUCAGUAAGAAUAUUAUUCAAAUUGUUCACCACGAUGUCCUAUAUUUCUAUGCUUGCAGGUUUUCCACCGGGAGAACAAUUUCUAGAUGCUAAAUUGAAAUGUAUUGUCCAGUGUCUUGUGAUGUCAUUCUUUCAUUAUUCAAGGUAUGUGUCUCACAAGGAAAUAGAAAAUCCUGAAUUUUGCAUGUGUGAUUGGUUCAACAACCUCAACCUCUGCACCUCACUGUCAACCACAUGCAAGCUUCCUCCUUGCUUUAGGUGAGAGCAUUUAUUUCAUCGCCUUUUUAGCUUGCUCAGAUUGCAUGUUUGAUAGGUUUCCCCAACCCGGGUUAGGAACCCCUUUGAUUUUGGUUCCUUGCUACAACUCUGUAUGCAAUUUUGUUUCUCUGUCACAGUUUGAUCGAUCCAUUCUUAGCUACAAAUGCUUAUUUAUAAACAGAUGGAUACAAGGUUCAUUGUAGUCUUGCAGUUUGGAAUACCAAAAAAAGCAUUUGUUUGAGUGGUAUAGCGUUUAGAUGUCAUUUUCUUGUUUGCUGUUUUUUAUCGCCUUUUAUUGUCGUGCUAUGAGUUGAUAUGAAUCAGCUAGCUAUUGUCUAAUUGUUGAAAUACCACCCUUUCGAGCAGCCCUUGAACACAAAACAAGGAAACGAGGAUAUUUCGGAGUCCCAGUCUCACUGCCUUCAUGGACGCUGGAGCCACUGCCACCUUUACUAUGUGUGUGGUUAGGGUAUAGAUCAAACUACAAUUCAACAAUUGUCAUCUACACCAUCAGAUCUCCGACUAUAAAACUCCAUGCUAAUGUUCCAUAUUCCUUUUUUCUGCUAAUUUUUAGAGUUUAUCCUUCUAUGAAUUACCUAAUUUCAGUCACAACUGACAAAUAUCAGUCUAUUUGUUAACAUCUCCAUCUCCAUCAAGGUUUAUAAAUUGACUUAAGAGUAUGCAUGUGCCCCUAUCAUUUUUUUGGUUCGUCAACAGAUGAAGUAAUCAACAGUUUGAAUGAGGGAUUAGGAGUACAUCAUCUAAAAUAUUUCUGUUCCCAGUUAAAUGUGUACCGAUAAAUUUAACUAUCAAAAUCAUUGUAGUGAGAAAAAAUUAUGUUCUUAUUUGCAGGCAUUGUGUGGCGAUAAACACAUGACCAGCAAGGGGCCCUGCCCCCCUCCAAAUACUAUGGAUUUGUUCAUAAUAAACACAUGAACAGUGCAGCAUUUGACUUGUUUUCUGCUCCGACCGUCCCUCCCCAACAUCCUAAUCCCACUAAUCCCGCCUCCGCCACUACAGGCAUGCCGACCUUUUCUUAAUUGCUAUACUUUUGAGGACGCAUCACUAAAAAAACUAAAAGAGGUUUCAUGGCAAUGAUGGAGUGCUACCAAAUUAUGUUCCAAGAAAAAUGAUUUCGGCCUCAACUUGACUACAUGCAUGUUGAAUUGUUGACCCGAUUUGACGGACUAUAUAAGUGCUCUUCUCCUUGGGAAUUUGAAAGCACAGCCCUUCUAAGCAUAGCACAAUAUAUAGGCUUAUAUAUGUGGUGGCUAUCAUUGGUACAAGCAUGUGUGCAUUAGACCAGAAAAGGGGUUUCAAACUCGCAGAGCAUAUUGAAGGUGGUACAAAUCAUUGCGGAGUGAAUUACAAGUAGCUAUAUGUGGAUUGGAAUUUACUGAAGCUUUGCAUAUUCAAAUUUUUAAGUCGAAUGAGACGUGCAUUGCACGUGCAAGCUUACUAGUGACUGCAAAAGUAAGGUUUAGAGCCUGUUUGGUUAGAGGCCUCGUGAGUGUGCGUGAGAAAAUAAGGUGCCUGGGUAACGCCCGUGAUGAAGCAAAAAAUUGUUUGGCCAGACUCGCGUGCCACCCGCGUGUUUAUCUAUUGUCUUUGCCAGACUGAUGUGAGUUGACUGUUUAAAAUAUUUUCACAGAACAAAUGUACAAUUACUGGCCAGUUAUUACUGCCAGGUUGUUGCUGUAGCACGCCAGACGCAUGGAGAGGGACGCCUGGACUAGGCUAAUGAGGUUGCCUGGGCUAUCUCUUUUCAAUUUCUUAUUCCUAGUUGCCAUGCUAAUCACAUGGCAGGGACGGCCAAGCCAGGCAGACAUCUUUUUCUAUGAGGACAGGAAGCAAACAGCUGUCACGUAGAACUCAGGGAUCAUCCAAGCCAGGCGUACAAUGGCGUGGAAGGCAUGUAAACACGCCCUUAGUCUUGUUAGUAUAGUAUAGCAUAACAUCCUUUCUAGCAUAGUACUGCCUUUGUUUCUAAAUUUAAGUCUUUUUAAAGAUUUCACUAUAAGCUAUGUACAGAUGUAUAUAGAUGUAUUUUAGUGUAUUUUUUACGGGGACGUAUUUUAGAGUGUAGAUUCACUCAUUUUGCUC